AACGAACGCUGGCGGCAUGCCUAAUACAUGCAAGUCGAACGAGAUCUUCGGAUCUAGUGGCGCACGGGUGCGUAACGCGUGGGAAUCUGCCCUUGGGUUCGGAAUAACAUCUGGAAACGGAUGCUAAUACCGGAUGAUGACGUAAGUCCAAAGAUUUAUCGCCCAAGGAUGAGCCCGCGUAGGAUUAGCUAGUUGGUGAGGUAAAGGCUCACCAAGGCUACGAUCCUUAGCUGGUCUGAGAGGAUGAUCAGCCACACUGGGACUGAGACACGGCCCAGACUCCUACGGGAGGCAGCAGUAGGGAAUAUUGGACAAUGGGGGCAACCCUGAUCCAGCGAUGCCGCGUGAGUGAUGAAGGCCUUAGGGUUGUAAAGCUCUUUUACCCGAGAUGAUAAUGACAGUAUCGGGAGAAUAAGCUCCGGCUAACUCCGUGCCAGCAGCCGCGGUAAUACGGAGGGAGCUAGCGUUGUUCGGAAUUACUGGGCGUAAAGCGCACGUAGGCGGUUAUUUAAGUCAGAGGUGAAAGCCCGGGGCUCAACCCCGGAACUGCCUUUGAGACUGGAUAACUUGAAUCCAGGAGAGGUGAGUGGAAUUCCGAGUGUAGAGGUGAAAUUCGUAGAUAUUCGGAAGAACACCAGUGGCGAAGGCGGCUCACUGGACUGGCAUUGACGCUGAGGUGCGAAAGCGUGGGGAGCAAACAGG
rnacentral:rRNA from 1 species